rnacentral:tRNA from 3 species
GGGGAUGUAGCUCAGUUGGUUAGAGCACACGCCUGAUAAGCGUGAGGUCGGAUGUUCGAGUCAUCUCAUCCCCACCA